GGGGCUGCAAGUGUAUUCGAAGUGUCGAUGAUCAAUGACCUGCAAUUCACAUUAAUUCUCACAACUAGCUGUGUUCUU
rnacentral:sRNA from 1 species